rnacentral:snoRNA from 1 species
CCUGUCCCUACAGGCAUUUUAGGUGCUUUGCUGUGUAUCACAUGUACAUCAGUAGUUGGCAGAGAGGAGAGACACUAUGUCUACACUCAGUGUUCCGACCUAUGAACAUUUGAAUGAUUAGUAGCCUAACGUU